rnacentral:rRNA from 1 species
GUGGGGAAUAUUGGACAAUGGGCGAAAGCCUGAUCCAGCCAUGCCGCGUGUGUGAAGAAGGUCUUCGGAUUGUAAAGCACUUUAAGUUGGGAGGAAGGGCAGUAAGUUAAUACCUUGCUGUUUUGACGUUACCGACAGAAUAAGCACCGGCUAACUUCGUGCCAGCAGCCGCGGUAAUACGAAGGGUGCAAGCGUUAAUCGGAAUUACUGGGCGUAAAGCGCGCGUAGGUGGUUUUGUAAGUUGGAGGUGAAUUCCCCGGGCUCAACCUGGGAACUGCCUCCAAAACUGCAUGACUAGAGUACGGUAGAGGGUAGUGGAAUUUCCUGUGUAGCGGUGAAAUGCGUAGAUAUAGGAAGGAACACCAGUGACGAAGGCGACUACCUGGACUGAUACUGACACUGAGGUGCGAAAGCGUGGGGAGCAAACAGGAUUAGAUACCCGGGUAGUCC